rnacentral:rRNA from 1 species
UACAGAGGUCCCAAGCGUUGUUCGGAUUCACUGGGCGUAAAGGGUGCGUAGGUGGUGAGGUAAGUCGGAUGUGAAAUCUCCGGGCUCAACCCGGAAAUGGCAUUGGAAACUACCUUGCUGGAGGAUUUGAGGGGGGAUUGGAAUACUUGGUGUAGCAGUGAAAUGCGUAGAUAUCGUAAGGAAGACCAGUGGCGAAGGCGGGUCUCUGGACAGUUCCUGACGCUGAGGCACGAAGGUCAGGGGGAGCAAACGGG